rnacentral:rRNA from 1 species
ACGUACUGUGCGAACGUUAUUCGGAAUCACUGGGCUUAAAGGGUGCGCAGGCGGCGAUUCAAGUCAGGUGUGAAAGGCUUCGGCUCAACCGGGGCACUGCGCUUGAAACUGGAUUGCUGGAGUAUCUCAGGGGUGUGCGGAACUGCCAGUGGAGCGGUGAAAUGUGUUGAUAUUGGCAGGAACACCGGAGGCGAAGGCGGCACACUGGGGGAUAACUGACGCUGAGGCACGAAAGCCAGGGGAGCGAACGGGAUUAGAUACCCCGGUAGUCCUGGCUGUAAACGAUGAGUACUGAGCGGAAGGAAGUCAGCUUUUUUCUGCUGUAGUGAAAACGUUAAGUACUCCGCCUGGGGAGUAUGGUCGCAAGGCUG